GAUGAACGCUGGCGGCGUGCCUAAUACAUGCAAGUCGAGCGAAAAGAUGAGGAGCUUGCUCCUCUGACGUUUGCGGCGGACGGGUGAGUAACACGUGGAUCACCUACUUAUAUGUCUGGGAUCACUUCGGAAAACCGGAUCUUAUACCGGAUAAUAUCUUGAACCGCAGGGUUCAAUGGUGAAUGACGGCUUUGCUGUCUCUUAUAGCUGGUUACGAGCCGCAUUAGCUAGUUGGUAAGGUCACGGCUUAUCAAGGCAAGUAUGCGUAGCCGACCGGCGAGGGGGAUCGGCGACACGAGAACUUAGACGCGGUCCAGGCGCCUACGAGAGGCAGCAGUAGGGAAUCGUCCGCAAAGGGCGAAAGCCUGACGGAGCAACGCCGCGUGUGAGAUGAAGGUCUUCGGAUCGUAAAGCUCUGUUAUGGGUGAAGAACAGAUGUGUAAUUAGCUAUGCACGGCUUGACGGUACCUAGUCAGGAAGCCACGGCUAACUACGUG
rnacentral:rRNA from 1 species